CAACUGUCCACAAGAGACCAAAAUGACACAGACAUUAACAACUAUCGGUCACCGUACGGCCUUCAACAAUGAGCAAAGCCCAUACCGCAUAGUCAGCUAUAAAAGGCCCCGAAAACACAAUGUAAAACAAAACAAACGAGAAAACUAACGGCCUUAUUUAUAUAAAAAAAUGAACGAAAAACAAAUAUGUAACACAUAAAAAAACGAC
rnacentral:lncRNA from 1 species